rnacentral:lncRNA from 1 species
GACUCCUUAGCUGUCUCGUACAGGACAGCCCUGGCCACCAGCAGGGCAGCCGGGAGACUGUGCCGGGCCCGCACAGGAAGUCCCUGGUGGAGGCCAGAUCUCCAGUCUGUGCCCUGUUAGCUGUCCCACUGCCCACUCGAUUUCGUGCACACUUGGAAGCCUGAAGACCUCAAUCCGGGCCCACACUCUACGACCGUCUCGCUCUGGGUGACUCAAGAACACCACUCCUCGCUGGCCUCUCAUCUAAGCUGGGCCCAUAGUUCACCAGUCAGGCCCUUCACUCUCAGCCACCUUCGCUGCACACAGUUAAAAAGUUUCUUUCUGGUCUCCACACAGGCUCCUGUAAGGCCGGACCCCGCGGGCCAUGAUGGGCCGCCCCUCCUCUCCCUCCUGNNNNNNNGGGAAGUCCCUAUCGGAAGGAGCCUCGCAGAUCCCAGGACCGAUGACAGCACACUUCGGCAGCUAAAGCCGCCCCACCCCAGCCACGAAGAAGGACCUGUCAGCCUGUGAUGCCUGGGCGUGGCGACCUAUCUGACCCCCAUCCAUCUAGCCUGACCAUCCCUUGCAACGAACGUAUAAAAGCCACCCCCCACACGAUCUGGGCCACGGACUUCCUUGACCUGCCUCUUUCGGGUCUGGAAACCCCGCCCGGGACGGCUUCGCCCUUGAAGAGCCUGUUAGACACUGUUUUGGUGUCCUGGUCUUUUACCUAACAGCU